GCUGCACUCCCCGAGAGCUGCCCUGACUCUCUGCGCCCAGGCCUCCUGACUAGGCAUGAGAAACGAGAAUGAUUAGGCUCCGUCCCCAUUAGCCAGGAAGUGGCUGCUGGAAGCCGUGGGGUUUCAGGCUGGGAGAGGGGCUGCGUCUGCUGGGGAAGGGCUUUGAAACAAAAGACCAGCCGGAGGUGGAUGGCGCUUAGGUUCCUCCUCGCGAUGAUCCUGACGAUGAGCUAGACGUGAACGCCCUCAUUUGGGACCCAGGAAGCUGAGGCCCUGGGUAAUCAAGGACUUGCUGAAGGUCGUGUGUACGGCAUCGCCCACUGCUGUCCCUGCGCUCGGCUGGCUGGUCCCUCGCCUGAUCCCUGUCCCGGUCCUGACCCGGACCCUCCAGACGUCACGGGAGAGAUCCCGGACCCCGCUCCUUGGGGAGACAGCCUGUGCAAGACCGCGGGGCUGCCCCCUCCUUGGGGAAGAGACGAGACGGACAAGAUGGACAGACACCGGAGCCAUUGGGUCCCCCCAGCCGCAUGUCCUGCGCUGUGACCAACGGUGGCACACGGAGCACGUAUUCCCUGGGGUUCACGAAAGGGGCAGCUGCGGGUGGUGUUGCUUCGCAUUCUGGACCGCAGCCCUGGGACCAGCUCUUUCUGCUGCAAACGCCUGGUGGCCGCUGUCCGGCGGCAGCGGUGCUCAGAACCGGGCGCAGGCUGGCUCUGCAGGAGGCCCCAGAGCCUGGGCACAGCUGCUGGGGGCCCAGCCCUGCCGGCGACCCUCCCGCGCCCGCUCUUCCCCUCUGUGGAAGCAGAUGUCUGCCUUUGGCUGCCGGCCAGCCUGGCAUCAGCGACCCGCAUGACAGCAGGCAGUGGCUGUGUAGUCCGAGCAAGGCACUGUACCUUUCUGAGUUUCAGUCCCCUCUUGAAUAAAUGCCUCUCGACA